rnacentral:tRNA from 1 species
GCGGAAGUGGCGGAACUGGCAGACGCACUAGAUUCAGGUUCUAGCGCCCGAAAGGGUGUGGGGGUUCAAAUCCCCCCUUCCGCACCA